ACAUAUAUUUGGGAGCCAUCG
rnacentral:piRNA from 1 species